rnacentral:rRNA from 1 species
AAAUUGAAGAGUUUGAUCAUGGCUCAGAUUGAACGCUGGCGGCAGGCCUAACACAUGCAAGUCGAGCGGCAGCGGAAAGUAGCUUGCUACUUUGCCGGCGAGCGGCGGACGGGUGAGUAAUGUCUGGGAAACUGCCUGAUGGAGGGGGAUAACUACUGGAAACGGUAGCUAAUACCGCAUAACGUCGCA